rnacentral:lncRNA from 10 species
CAGCAAAUAAAGCUAAAAUUAAAAUGUAUCUUGGAAAAAUAUGAGAAUCAGCUCAUCCCUAACUGGGCACACAGUCACAUGCGUCACUUCCAGGCCUGGGCGUGUGCAUCCUCCACUCUCUUCCCCUGUGGGUGCAGAAGGCGGGGCAGAGGGCCCUGAAACCUUGGAGGUCGGUGGAGCCCAAAAUGAAGGAGCGUGGGCCUCUGGGUCUUCAUGUAAAUUUAGGUAACACUGAACUGUCAGGUGAACAAGAAAUAAACGUCAAAUGUAUUCAGUCGAUUAGAUUUGGUGAUGGUUGUUACAGCGGUUACCCUCCCUCAACAUAAUAAAUUUUCAAACAACUCAUAAUGGCUCACUCAUGUAUAAAAUAUUCCAUAUGAAAUCCCGGGAUAACAUGCUUAUUCUAGCUCAAGCUUAAUCAGAGUAGUCCAUCUGAGGGAGGAGAUAGUAGAGGGCAGCAAGGGGUUGUCACUGAAGAUAACUAGCCUUGCUAAAAGAAUGGUUGAAGAAGUGAGCUACAGAUAGGGUAAAUCCACAUCUCAGACAUUCUGUGAUGGUCCUGAUAUUAUCCUAAAGUAAAAUGUAGAGUUGAACCAUUUUAAUUAGAUUCUAGAAUUCUAUUAAUUUAUAAGAUGGGCAUUUCCACAAAGGACUAAACAAAGUACAAGAGGAUUAAAUAAUCAUCCACAUGGGAGGCACCGCCUUGCACUUUAAAAUGAUGGAGCUUAUCAAGACUGGCUGUGGAUAUCUGUCCCUGGGAGGGUUUUUUCCCCCAUUUUUUUCCUUUUUGAGACAUGUUCUCGCUAUGUUGCCCAGGCUGGUCUUGAACUCCUGGGCUCAAGUGAUCCUCCCGCCUCAGCCUCCCCAAGUAGCUGGGAUUACAAGUGCAUGCCACCAUGCCUGGCUUAGGUCCCUAAGAGUUUGCAACAAAGCAUGCUAUUGUGGUUGAAAGAUUUCCAAAAGCACAGCAGAAAAGCUUACAGGGGCCAGGCAGGUGACAGGGUGGGCAGAAAGUGAGAGGGAAGGUGGGACCUGUAAGGAGCUGUGGCACAACAGCACAAUGUUAAGGGAUUUACAUUCAGUAUUUUAUGAGACGGAGUCUCACUCUGUCGCCCAGGUUGGAGUGCAGCGGUGCGAUCUCGGCUCACUGCAACCUCCGUCUCCCACGUUCAAGUGCUUCUCUUGCCUCAGCCUCCUGAGUAGCUGGGGCCAUAGACACCUGCCACCACGCCCGCCUAAUUUUUGUAUUUUAGUAGAGACGGGGUUUCACCAUGUUGGCUAGGUUGGUCUUGAACUCCUGACCUCAGAUGAUCUGCCCAUCUCAGACUCCCAAAGUGCUGGGAUUACAGGUGUGAGCCACUGCACCCAGUAAUUUGAAGGCACUGUGUAGGAUUUGUGGGCAGACACUCUCAGAGUUGCCCCCCUAGUUUAUUCAUUCACUUAACAAGUUUUAAUUAUUUAUUUAUUUGAGACAGGGCCUCACCCUGUAACCCAGGCUGGAGUGCAGUAGUGUGAUCACCACUCACUGCAUCCUCAACCUCUCAGGCUCAGGGAAUCCUCCUACCUCAGCCUCCCGAAUAGCUGGGACUACAGGUGCACACCACCAUUCCUGGCUAAUUUUUUUAUUUUUAUUUUUGUAGAGAUGGAAUCCCAUUAUGUUACCCAGGCUGGUCUUGAACUUCUGGGCUCAAGCCAUCCUCCCACCUUGGCCUCCUGAAGUGCUGGGAUUAUAGGCGUGAGCCACGGCACCUGGCCAACAAGUAUUUACUGAAUGUCCACUGGCUUUCUGAGAUCUAGGAUUUGGUCUAAAAGAUAUCUCGAGGCUCUUUCCCAAUCUAUUGCUCUAAGAAAUGUUUU